rnacentral:tRNA from 1 species
GAACCCGUGGCUCAGCUGGAUAGAGUACCUGGGCUUUGACAGCCGCAGGCGCUACCAGGCGGUCGCACGUUCGAAUCGUGCCGGGCGCGCCA